CAAAUACAUAUUUGGUUGUAAUUUAAUUUUAUGACUUCGUCUAUAUGUUUUCGAUGUUAAGGAAGAGGUGUUAAGAUUUUGGGUCCAUCUUAAUAAGGUCAACCUUGUUAAGAGGAGUGUCCCAAUUCUUUAUAUAUUGGUCAUUAUUUCGGUAUUUUACCGAUGUGGGAUUAUAUUCCCUUAACAUGCCCCCGCAAGAUGGUGGCUCGUUUGAGCAGACCAAUCUUGAAAUCCGUGUGCUCAUUUUUAGAGACUUAAUCGGAUCGAAUCGCUCGUUGGAGCUUAAUGGGCUCUGAUACCAUGUUAAGAUUUGGGGUCCAUCUUAAUAAGGUCAACCUUGUUAAGAGGAGUGUCCCAAUUCUUUAUAUAUUGGUCAUUAUUUCGGUAUUUUACCGAUGUGGGAUUAUAUUCCCUUAACAAGAGGAACUUGAUUUUAGCUACCUAAUUUUGAGUUAUAUAACAUAAUUAAUUGAGAAAAUUGACCUUAUGUUGAUGGUUUUUCUAUGCAAAAGUGUGGGUGAAUGGUAAAGUGAGUAUUUGGCAUUGGCUACAUUUUUAUGGUUCGUGGUAUAUAGCAUGACGAUAAAUAGAAAUUAUAAUUGUUUAUGAAGCGUGAGAGGGAAAAAGUGAUAUAAGCUGAAUAACAAGACUUGUAUUUUACUUGUUUAGCUCGUUUUCAACUUAUCAAUACAACUACUAAGGCUAGUUGCUUAUAAGCAUACAACCAACUGAACCUGUAGCUAUUUCUCAAACUCCAUAGCCACUUCUUUAUUUAGAACUUGUGGUUGAUAAUUAUUUUUAAGAAUUAUCUUUAUGCUAGAAAUUUUCAACUCUUUCUGUCAAUCCUAAAUUUGAUUCUAUUAGAUGCAUAUUAAUUCAUUUAUUAGAAUUCACCUGUACGUUGUUGGCUCCAAAGGCUUCUCUAAGCAAAGCCCAAACCAUAGUUUUCUUUCCCACUCCUGGCAGGCCUUAAAAAAUGAAGUGACCGCAUUCUUCUGCUUUAACCUGUCGUAGUGCAAAAAUACCAGUAUAGGAAUUCUUUUUGUUGCAGUGAAAACGGUCAAUAAUAUAAGCAAGGUGAGAAAUAUACUUACCACAUCUUGUAGCCAAAGUGCUAUUCUUCGAUUGCAUAGAAAAUCUUGCAAAUAAAAGGGCCUAUAGUAUAGUUGUCUACCCAUGCAUAUUUUCUAUCAUUUUUCAUUCUCUUCGUUUCCUCAUUUUUUAGGGUGACAACUUCAAUUUCUGAAGUUUGAGCUGUUGCAAUAGGCGGUGUUUGUGCAAGUGGUGGUGAAGAUGGUGGCAAAAGCGAGUCUUCUAUAUUUUGUGAUGAUAUUUGUCUAAGGCAUCUGCAGUUGCUAAAGUUUGAGCUGCUUCCAUAGUUAGUGUUUGUGCAGGUGGUGGUAGUUGUGGUGGAGAUGGUGGCAAAAGCAGGUCUUGUGUAGUUUGUGAUGAUAUUUGUGGUUGUGAAGUUGUCGAGGGAAUGUUGGGCGGUAUUUCUCGUUCUCUCUCACUCAAAGGCUUCUUA
rnacentral:lncRNA from 1 species